ACGACCGGCGAACGGGUGCGUAACGCGUAUAGAAUCUGCCUUGUACAGGAGGAUAGCCUUUAGAAAUGAAGAUUAAUACUCCAUAGUGUAUAGAAGUGGCAUCACUUUUUUACUAAAGAUUUAUUGGUACAAGAUGACUAUGCGUCCUAUUAGCUAGAUGGUAAGGUAACGGCUUACCAUGGCUACGAUAGGUAGGGGGUCUGAGAGGACUAUCCCCCACACUGGUACUGAGACACGGACCAGACUCCUACGGGAGGCAGCAGUGAGGAAUAUUGGUCAAUGGAGGCAACUCUGAACCAGCCAUGCCGCGUGCAGGAAGACUGCCCUAUGGGUUGUAAACUGCUUUUAUACGGGAAGAAACAACUCUACGUGUAGAGUCUUGACGGUACCGUAAGAAUAAGCACCGGCUAACUCCGUGCCAGCAGCCGCGGUAAUACGGAGGGUGCAAGCGUUAUCCGGAAUCAUUGGGUUUAAAGGGUCCGCAGGCGGUCAAUUAAGUCAGAGGUGAAAUCCCAUAGCUUAACUAUGGAACUGCCUUUGAUACUGGUUGACUUGAGUUAUACGGAAGUAGGUAGAAUAAGUAGUGUAGCGGUGAAAUGCAUAGAUAUUACUUAGAAUACCGAUUGCGAAGGCAGCCUACUACGUAUAUAC
rnacentral:rRNA from 1 species